UACGAAGGGGGCUAGAGUUGUUCGGAAUUACUGGGCGUAAAGCGCACGUCGGCGGACUCUUAAGUCAGGGGUGAAAUCCCGGGGCUCAACCUCGGAACUGCCUUUGAUACUGUGAGUCUCGAGACCGGAAGAGGUGAGUGGAAUUCCUAGUGUAGAGGUGAAAUUCGUAGAUAUUAGGAAGAACACCAGUGGCGAAGGCGGCUCACUGGUCCGGUUCUGACGCUGAGGCGCGAAAGCGUGAGGAGCAACCAGC
rnacentral:rRNA from 1 species